AGUAAGUAUAGGCGGUAGAGCACUGAUCGGGCUAGGGGCCGUAAAGGUUACCGAACCCUGUCAAACUCCGAAUGGAUAUACUGUAGAGCCUUGGAGUCAGACUACGAGUGAUAAGAUCCGUGGUCAAAAGGGAAACAGCCCAGACCACCAGCUAAGGUCCCCAAUGUCGUACUAAGUGGAAAAGGAUGUGGGGUUUCAUAAACAACCAGGAUGUUGGCUCAGAAGCAGCCACCAUUUAAAGAGUGCGUAAUAGCUCACUGGUCGAGAGACCCUGCGCCGAAGAUUCCCGGGGCUAAAGUACGAAACCGAAGCUGUGGCUGUAUACGUAAAGUAUACGGGGUAGGGGAGCGUUCCCAUAGGGUAGAAGUCGAACUGGAAGGUUCGGUGGACUUGUGGGAAGUGAGAAUGUUGGUAUGAGUAGCGAAAAGAAAGGUGAGAAUCCUUUCCACCGAAAGCAUAAGGAUUCCUGAGCAACGAUCGUCGUCUCAGGGUAAGUCGGGACCUAAUCCGAGGCAGAGAGCGUAGGAGAUGGACAACUGGUUGAUAUUCCAGUACCGGUAGUAAUUGUUUGAGCAAUGGAGUGACACAGAAGGGCAGGCAAGCAUGCGAAUGGAAGAGCAUGUGUAAGCGUGUAGGGUGGUGCAUAGGCAAAUCCGUGCACUGAAAGCCUGAGGCGUGAUGCGGAGUGAGCAGAGAUGCGAGCGAAGUUGUUGACCCCACACUGUCGAGAAAAGCUUCUAGUGAGAGAGCUACCGCCCGUACCGUAAACCGACACAGGUAUGCGGGGAGAGAAUCCUAAGGUGCGCGGGAGAACCCUCGUUAAGGAACUCGGCAAAAUGUACCCGUAACUUCGGGAUAAGGGUAGCCACUGUUGUGAAGUCCCACGCGGAUGGAGCAUAGAGUGGUCGCAGAGAAGAGGCCCAAGCGACUGUUUACCAUAAACACAGGUGCCUGCUAAAGCGAAAGCUGACGUAUAGGUGCUGACACCUGCCCAGUGCCGGAAGGUUAAGGAAGGAUGUUCGGAUUAAUCCAAAGCAUUCGACUGAAGCCCCGGUGAACGGCGGCCGUAACUAUAACGGUCCUAAGGUAGCGAAAUUCCUUGUCGGGUAAG
rnacentral:rRNA from 1 species